rnacentral:other from 1 species
GUCUUGCUGCGGCUCUCGUCGGAGGCGACUUAUCCUCGCGACCUUAAUUCACUCGAAGGGAGCUGUCCCUGUCCCGGCCCGAGGGCUGGGGCACAUGGCGCCCACCUGGUUAUCCAGGUCGAGAGGAUUGAACAGUCCUCCACGGUUCUCGCGGCGCCGCC